GACGAACGCUGGCGGCGUGCUUAACACAUGCAAGUCGAACGGAAAGGCCCUGCUUUUGUGGGGUGCUCGAGUGGCGAACGGGUGAGUAACACGUGAGUAACCUGCCCUUGACUUUGGGAUAACUUCAGGAAACUGGGGCUAAUACCGGAUAGGAGCUCCUGCUGCAUGGUGGGGGUUGGAAAGUUUCGGCGGUUGGGGAUGGACUCGCGGCUUAUCAGCUUGUUGGUGGGGUAGUGGCUUACCAAGGCUUUGACGGGUAGCCGGCCUGAGAGGGUGACCGGGCACCAUGGGACUGAGGUACGGGCCAGACUCCUACGGGAGGCAGCAGUGGGGAAUAUUGCACAAUGGGCGGAAGCCUGAUGCAGCAACGCCGCGUGCGGGAUGACGGCCUUCGGGUUGUAAACCGCUUUCGCCUGUGACGAAGCGUGAGUGACGGUAAUGGGUAAAGAAGCACCGGCUAACUACGUG
rnacentral:rRNA from 1 species